UUGUGUGUGGUGGAUCUAUAGCACGAUCAAGCGCUGUACUGUCCGUAAACUAUAGCCGCUGGCCGUUUUCGAGAUGGACAGCUAAAUGUAUAACUGCUAGAUCCCGUUCAUGAAUUGGGAAACCGAAAAUACGCCAGACAGCUUCAUUGGAACUGAUAUACCGCCCAAUUUGCGAUACACGUGGUCUGAUAACGGAAUUUUUUCCCAAAUCUUUUGACAAUAUCCAUACAAUUAUAACUCAAUUAACAUGGAACAGCUAACAAUAGUUAAUAAUGUGUUGAGCAAAGCCAUAAAACAAGUAUUGUAUUGAAUCAGUAGAUCAGUUCUCUAUCCAUAUGGCAGGUUCAAGAGUCCCUGGACAAGUAUAUGUAUGUACUAAACUACAAGAUCAAAUGCCCUAUUUGCAAAACGUAUCUCUUAUAUCAAAUCUUAUCGUCGAGCUUCGCGAGAAAUCCUUUGAUUUCCCAGUCACCAGAUAAAAGAAAUAAAGAUUGCUAAAUCUUUAUCGGAUCGGCCUAUCUGGUAUGUGUUUGAUAUACAACAGAAUUGCAGGAAUAAGGUGAGAUAUCGUAAGGUAAAGAUACGAUUAGAUGCGAGUACUUAAGUUUUGAUGCCGAUAAAUCAACAAAUGCUGAUAGACCUAUACGUGCAAGUGCAGGUAGUGCAACAAUGAAAUGGCCAAUACUUAGAAGGUGAAUCAGAGAAGGUGACCUAGAUCUGGACAUGAAACACACACUCUCAAUUACUCAGCCACACUGGGAGAGGACGUGGAGGUCUUUAUGGCACUUUAAACAGGUGGAUAUCAAUAAAGAUCUAGCUGAGAUAUUAUCGUUUAUCAAGGCGGACGGACAUGGAUAUAUCGACUUGGCUGUGGAUGCUACGCUUCUUUUUACCUGUUGCAUACAUCCUCACGAUUUCAAUAUACCCUAGUAAUCUUCGAGUACCGGGGUAUAAAAGCGAAUACCGUUUCGCAGUUAAUUUGCCAUUGGGUCAAUCGUUUCCUAGCCAAAAAAGCCACAAUACUGCCAAUCAAAAAAAUAUCCACAGGUGGCUGCAGUCAUUUCCUUCAGCGAUCUUGUUUUUAUUUUGUUGGAUUGUCGUCUGCCUCCAUUAUUUUAUAACAUUUUUGUGGUUGUUUUUGCUUUAUUUCUGCACUAAAUACAAUACAUAUUUGUCGAGUUUUUUUUUAUUGUCAAAUUAUUGCUUUUGACGAGUUUUUGUUGGGUAGCGGCCUUUUGUAGAGUUUUAAUGGAGAAGGCAGGCGGGCCGGCUAUCAACGUCCGCUUUGAUCGUGUGCUACGCCUUGGAGCUUUCAACGAACAAUUUGUUGCGAAAUUAGUUUAAUUAUAUUUCAAUUAAAGCACAAACAAAGCAAACCGAGCUCCAAAAAUCCCCAACAGAAUUGAGUAAUUAAAACGGUUGGGAAAGUACAUAGUAAGUAUAGUAGGUAUGUGCAACAAUUCGUCAUGGAGAUGAUCUCAUUGGAAAAGAGAUGGCGAUUGUACUCGUACUCGUGCAACAUGGGAAUUUAUAAACAAAU